AACGAACGCUGGCGGCGUACCUAACACAUGCAAGUCGAACGAGAAAUUCCGAUUCGUCGGGAGAGUAAAGUGGCGAACGGGUGAGUAAGGUGAGGGUAAUCUUCCCUUAAAUUGGGAAUAACCUUGCGAAAGCGAAGCUAAUUCCUGAUAAGACUACGAUCUGUUAGCAGAUAGUAGAAAAAGAUGGCCUCUGUCUUAAGCUAUUGUUUAAGGAUGAGCCCUCAUACUAUUAGCUAGUUGGUGAGGUAAUGGCUCACCAAGGCGACGAUGGUUAGCUGGUCUAAGAGGAUGGCCAGCCACACUGGAACUGAGACACGGUCCAGACACCUACGGGUGGCUG
rnacentral:rRNA from 1 species